GUCUUUUUGUAUUAUAUUUUAAGUCUAAUCUGCCCAAUGAUAAUAUUUUAAUGGCCGCAGUAUUUUAACUGUGCAAAGGUAGCAUAAUCAUUAGUUUUUUAAUUGAAGACUUGUAUGAAUGAUUGAACAAGAUAUAAGCUGUCUCAUAUAUAAUUUUUAUAGAAUUUUAUUUUUUAGUUAAAAAGCUAAAAUAUAUUUAAAAGACGAGAAGACCCUAUAGAUCUUUAUAUUUAAUUAAAUUUUAAUUUUUGAAGAAUUAUUUUAAAUAAAAUUUAUUAUAAUAUUUUAUUGGGGUGAUAUUAGAAUUUAAUAAACUUCUAAUUAAUUAAUUUAACAAAAAUUUUUGAAUAGUUUUGAUCCUUUAUUAUAGAUAAAAAAUUUAAGUUACCUUAGGGAUAACAGCGUAAUUAUUUCGGAGAGUUCUUAUCGAUGAAAUAGAUUGCGACCUCGAUGUUGGAUUAAGAUUAAUUUUGGGUGUAGCAAUUCAGAAUAUUAAGUCUGUUCGACUUUUAAAUUCUU
rnacentral:rRNA from 2 species